CAAGGGUUUCCAUUGUGAAGAAGAUAAAAUUCUCCUUGGGAUGUAAAAUUGUCUAGGCCAAACCCACGUUAGCAAAGAGACAAACAAGCACCAUAUAAUAGUAUUUUAUUGACUUUACAGCGGUAUAGAAUAGACUACUGCGGAGGGUAGACAUAGGCAAUGCCAUAGAUUUCAUAAAUGGAUGGAGUGACGCUGUCAGAGAUAAAGCAAGGGUGCACAAAAUCCUUGAACCUCUUCUGCCUCUGUUUCAACGCCAGAAAUCAUCAUGUCCCUCUGCUUUGUUCUCUAUCGCCAUCAUUGUGCCCACAUCAUCCUCCUCCUCCUCUUUUCUCUUUCAACCACCCCCACACACCCCACAUACCUAAACCCACCACCAUCAUUACUACUCCUCACACCUCACUACACCAAAAAGAAAAAAAAGGUAAAGAAAAUUAUUUAGAAGAUGAACAAGAUCUCAAUAUUCCUUCCACUCUCAUGUGUUGUUGUUGAUUGAAGAAAGAAAAAAAAAAAGCUAGCCAACAUCAUCGAUAUCACUUUCUUCUCUCUGAGACCAUUGUUCCUAGUUUCUCACCGAACAAGGGUAUGGUACUGUACUGUCUCUCUCUUCAUUCUUUCUGGGGAAUCAAGCGUUGUGGUCCGAUCAUUAAUUAACUUUGCUACAUCCCGGAAGUUAGUUAAUUUGACUAGUCGAUCUACUUUAUAUUACUAGCUUUUUAUUUUAGUCAUGCUCUUUUUGUAAACCCUUUUUCCUUAAUUGGUGUGGGUUUCUUUUCUUUUUUUCUUUUCUCUCUUUUGAGUGUUUACAUAUCUAGGGUUUAUUUAUAUGUUGUAUCUGAAAAGUGGAAAGUUUGCAAGCUUGUUAUCUUAUGUUAUGUUAUUCCUGUGUGCGUUUAUAUAUGAGAGAGUAUUAUUGAUCUUUGUUGCUUUGAGCUAAGCUGUACUAUUGUGGUUUUGGUAAUUUCCUUCUUUGUAUGAACAUCCCUUUUAUAUAUGUAUUUGUGUUUAGCGAUUCUUAUAUUUAUGUUUAUACCAUCAAGGCUUUGAGCUUGUGAGAGAAAACAAAUUAAAUUUGAAUUUUCUAGUUAGAUCUAUGUGGCAUGGUUUUGGUUACAAUUUUCUCCUUUCACAUAUGGGAUGAUGACUUCAUUGGAGAAUUACUUAAAAGAGAGAUAUAUUAUAAUUUUACAUGGAUAAGUACAAUAGUAUUGAAUACAUAACAUUGUUAAAUGUUCUUGAGGUUCUGCGAAAGUUGAACCCAUCUGAAAUCAUUCAAAAGGAUUCUCACAAUGAACAAUUGGGUUUGUGCCUAUUUUUUUUUUCCUCCUGGUGUUUUUCUUUUCUCACCCAGGUUUGAGUGUGGGAUUAACGCUCGGAUUUCCACAAGGUAGUUUAAGUUGAACUCAAAUCCUACACUGCAGGAAGAGUAUGAUGACAAUUUUUUUCUUGUGUUUGAUUGUGCUUUCUGCUACCCUAGGUUUUCUUUGUACUUGAUCAAUAUUUAACAGAUUUGGAAGGAUUUACUUUCUGAAAAUUAACUAGGACCUGCGCAUUCAAAUUAAAACAUCAAUUAAAAUGUACUGAUCAACACUCGGUUUAAAGCAGAUCCAUUGAUUGAUGGCUUUUUGUUGUUCUUUUUUUGGAUGAUAUUAAACACCCUAAUUGUUAUUUUCUGGGGAACCGCAAAUACAAUGAUAAUACAUAAACACUCAUUUUUUAAAUACCUAAUAAAUAUCUUUUAUUUCUCUCUAAUUUUUCUUUUCAUGUUAAAUCAUAUUACUUAUUAAAUCUAUAUUUUUCUUACUUUUAUCUCUCAUUAGAUAUUUAUUAGCAUAUUAAUUAGGAGUCCAUGUAUAAGUUUGCCUGUAAAUAAUGUAGCAGGGACUUUUGACAGAAAUACUUAUUUAACGAUAUGCACCUUAUAAUUAUAGUUAUAUAUUGCAUGCUUCAUAAUGAGAUCUACCAAAUUCAAUGGUACGGGUCCUCAUGAUUUCCUUGGUCUUGAAAUUCGUUCAGAUCAUUAAUUCUGAUGCAUUCGUAAAUUAACUAGUUCAUCAUUAACAGUUCUUAUUUAGAAUUUAUUUACAAUUUUAACCUUGAAGAUCAUGUCUUAAUUUUUUCAUUCAUCUACAUUAUAUUUUUAAUUCAUUUAUUUCUUUCUUUAUUUUCUUACUUUAUUAAUCGCAUUUGUUACUUCUUUCCUCAUAUAUCUUUUUUAGUAUAAUUAAAUGAUCAUUUUUAUUAAUAUUUUUGUAGCAUUUUAAUUAAACAAAAUAUAAAUAGUCUUACCCUCUCUUUAGUUUAUUAGAAGAAAGAAUGAAUGAAUUGAAAGAGAAAAGGUUUUAAAUUUUAAAGUGUGAAGAAAAAAAAAAGAAAAAUAGAUUUUUUAAUAUAUAUGAUAUUCUAAUUAAUCAACCAAACAAUGUAUAUAGAGAGAAGAGAUCAAAUUAACACCAGGAUCAUUUUAAUAAUUAUUAUAUUAUUUUAUAAUAUUUAACUGGAUAAUAUUUUAUUAAAAUCCACCACUAGAUUGAAAUAUUUUUUUACAUAGAUCAUCAAAAUUUUAUAUUAAUUUAAAAUUAUUUGUCAUCUCAUUCAUACAUAUAAUAUAAAUAUUUUAAAAUAUAUUAAAAUAUGAAUGAUUUAUUUUGAUAAAAUCUUGAUAAUAUAAAAAUAUAAUUUAAUGAUUUAAUCAAUAAAAAUUAUAUUUUAUCUCAAGUUAUAAAAAUAAUAUAAUAAUUAUCAAAAUUACACCAAUAUAAUUUAGUUCUUAUAUAUAUAUAUAUAUAUAACUUAGUGUAUUCUCUUUAUUUUUAUUCUUUUUCUUCUCACAAAGACAAGGUGAGAAAUUCAAUUUUUGUUAGCACGAAACGGUGUGGUCAAAGCUGAUUAUAAUAUAUGCGUUCGAAUAUUAGCCACUUACCGACAAAGUGAACACAUUAUAUGAGAAUAUAUAUAUAUAUAUAUAUAUAUAUAUAUAUAUAUAUAUAUAUAUAUAUAUAUAUAUAUAUAUAUAUAUAUAUAUAUAUAUAUAUAUAUAUAUAUAUAUAUAUAUAUAUAUAUUAGUUUUUCUUAAAAAAAAAGAAAGAAACCUCUUACAAUUAUUGUACACAAAAACAACGCCUUUUUUAAUUUGUGUACUACAAAAAACGUAUAUAAUUGACUAUUAACCCGUUUGACUAUCCCGCUGUAAUUUAUUCUACGUACUACGUUGACGGUUCACACAGGUCUUCUUCAUGAAUUGCGAUCAAAACGCGCGCGUGCUUCUAUAGACAUUACUCUUUUGACUUAUAGCUGUAGCCUUUUUUUUCCUUUUGUGCAUGAAGAUAACUAAUAAUUUCUCUCACAAAUUUAGUAGUACAAUUACAAACCUUACUUAUUGUGUUGUCUCAUUAAAAUAAAAAAUAUAUAAUAACUAUAUUAAUAUUUAAUGAUAAUAUUUAAUUUUAAAAAUUAUAAAAACUAUAUAAUUUUAAAUGACAGCACAAAAAAGACAGUAGAAAAGUUAAAUUUCACAACUACCCAACAUACUAUUUAAUGAUAUACUCUAUAUAUAUGACUAAACGAAACAAGCUAGGUCAAUUCACAUGUUAGCGAAAACGGUGUCACAAAAAACAUGCUAAUAAUCAAUAAUAUAUACUAGCUAGCUAGUUUUUUCAAACACAAUGAUCUUGUACAACUAAUAUUUUGAAUUAACCAAAUGCACCAAGAGCUACAAGACACGUUAAUUUUGUCGGUUUUGGAACAAGAAUCAUCUCGCUGUUUAGACCCAAUAAAAAGAACGCCUCAGUCUCACUGUUAAGUUUGAUUGUUUUUCAAAAUUCGACUUAAGUCAAGCUUUCUGAUUUUCACGUCUAUGGCACGACACGAUGAUUUGGAAAAUAGAGUAAUGAGAGAGCGUGUGAAGCACGGAAAGUGAAUUACAGUGCUUUGCUAGCUACUCGCCAGAAUUGUCUCUAGACUCUAAUAUACAAUGGCUGAGCUUCACAAAAUUUUGGAUGGACCAAAAUAAUUAAAAUUUUAAUAUGCAAACUAAAUACAAUACUUUUGAUAAUAUCAUCUUUUAUGGAUGAUUUUAAACAUUUAAUUAUAUUAUUUGUAUUAAUUAUUAUUUUUCAAUUAAGUGUUUUUAUCAUUUAUGUCAUUAAUAUAUCUUUUUUUUACUUUAUUAACACUGUUUUGAUUUUUUAAUAUCGUUUGUACCUUUAUCUCCUGCUGAAUAAAAGAAAUAGAAAAUUUAUUUGUAAAUUGUGUGAAAAAUCAACAAGACAUAUUAAGUUAUUUUAUAAAAAAAGAAGUUAGACCAUAAUACACAAAAAAACAUAACAAAAAUUUAAUGGAACUUUCAUCAAAUUUAAAUAAAUAAUCAUAAAUUUUCCAAAAUCAUUGCAAAAACUGAAGAAAUAAUUUACAUUAAAAUCACAAAGUCCAUAAAAGAAUUUGCUUGAAAAAUCCACAAGCAAGAAAAAUUAGUUUUAAAAUGUUACCGAAUUUUUAUUAAAAACAACUAAUAUAUAAAUAACUUCUAUAUAUAUAUAUAUAUAUAUAUAUUUGCGUGCAUGGGGAGGGGGCAUGGCCCUCUAUAGCUCUCAUUAAGAUCCCUCGUCAUUGCCGGUAAAGGUUCUUGUAGUUUACACUAAAAAGUGUUAAAAUAGUAAAAUGAAUAUAAUGUAACAUAAUUGUUAGAUAAUUAUAUCUUUUAAGUUUGUGAUAAAAAUUCAAUAUUUAGGUUUCACUUAUGAAAAAACAUUUUUAUAAUAUAUUAAUCUCUUGAAUGAAUUUUAAUAUUUUAAAAGAUUAUAACUAUACCCCUAAAGUUUGCAGGGAAGAGUUCAUUUUUAGGAUUUUGUUAAAAAUAUAAAUAAAAAAAAUCUGUUGGAAGAUGUUAUUUCUUAAAUAAAAUUUUAGUGUCUUACAAUAUUUGUCCUUUAAUUAAAAGAAAAGAUUAAAAAUAGAAGAAAACUGUCAUUAAAAUGUCAAAGGUACGAAAAACAAAUAAAACAUUUAGCACAAAUUUCUAAAAACAGUGUGCUCUAAAUCUUUCUCUAAUAUAGCUAGUCUUUAUCGUUAAUCUCGAUCUUAUAGUUAGUGAUGUUAAAUAUGUUCAAAAUUGUGGUAAAAUAUAGAGUUGUUUUACAGUAUGUUUGGAUCAAUUGAAAGUCAUCCGAUGAAAAGUCAUAUGCAGCGAUAAAAUAGAUAGUAUCGUCUUGUUUGGAAUACUAAAAGUUGAGAUGAAACAAUUUUCACCUCACAGAUGAAGUGAAGUGUAAUAUUUCAUUUUUAGUGAAAUAAAUUUUUUAAAAAAUCAUUUAAAAUAAAUAGAGUUUUAGAAGAAAAGGUGAUAAAGUUUUUGUAAUUAAAUAAAUAAAAAAUAAUAAUUUUAUUAAAAUAAUGAUUUGAAGAAAAAUAAAAAAAUAUUUGAUUUAUUCAGAAAAUAAAAUAGAGUAUUUGUUUAUAAAAUAAUAAAUAAAUAAAAAUAGAGUAAAUAAUAGAUAAUGAGUUUUUAGAAUGACAAUACAUUUAUACUCUUCCUCUUCCUUUCAAUUUUUGUUUUUCCUUCUAAAACUAUGAUUUUGUAAUUGUUAACAGUUGCAUCAUCCUGAAAUUUGAGCACUAGGUUCGGAACUCGAUCUCACCGUUGGAAAUCAUGAAAACAUAUCGGAGCAGAGAAAAAUACCCUUCCUUCGCAUCGUAACUUUUUUCUUUUCUCACAUAAAUCCAAAAUUGUCCCAUUAAAACUAUGAUCUCGGUUUCAUUAGCCGUUGGAUCUUUGUGAAAUUCUGGCGCCGCAAUUCAUUUUAUCAUAUUUUUAACGUUGGGGUUGGGAUUUGUAAAAUAAUGUCUCUGAAUGGAUAAAUACUCAUCCCACCAAUGGAAAUGGAGGUUUCAAUCCCUUCUCCAUCAGACCAAGAAGAGAAAAAGCUUGAGAAAUCUCAGGAAAUUGCUAGAAAUACUAUUAUGGUUGUCACAAUACACACGUGAGUCCGCUUAGAAAUAAAAGAUGAGUUUAUCGCAAUUAAGAUCAAAAUAAACGUGUAGAUGUUCUUAAAAGAUUAAAUUGAGAUUUAUUUUGAGAUAUUUAUUCUAUUGAAAUUCUUUUUGUAUGAUUAUGUGAGAUUAUUUGAGGGAUUUUACUCUUUGUGGAUUGAGAAGUAUUUUUGUAUAAUUUAUUUGUGUUUUAAUAAGAUUAGCCUAAUGAAUGGUUAUAUUGGGGUUAUGAAAUUGUGAGCUGUGAUUAUACAAUAACUUUUUUUUCCCAACUUUUACCUAAAAACUGAGGUGAAAGUGAGCCGAAGCACCAGCUUCUCCAGGUACCGAUCUCUGGUUACAAUCACCAUUUUGUAGCCAAGCCAGCAAUAGUCGCCGACUCUGUGGAAAAAGAAAAAAUCUGGAAGGAACAAACAGAUAGAAAGACGCACCACAACAACGAGAAAACAGAAUGUGAACACAUGACAUAUCGAAUGAAAUAAGGUUGACUUGACGCGCUUGUGAAGCUGCUAAACGCUAAUUCUUUCACAAUCCUCAUCUUCAACUCAAUUCUCCUAUUUGCACCCCUCAAACCUGCUUUCAAGCAUCAUACUCACACAACCACCAUGGCCCUUCCUCAAUCGUACGCUACAAAUUAUGUCUUCCUAGAAUCAAUCCUAGUACUUUUUUUUUUUUUUGUACUUUUGUUGGAUUUUGGUUUGUAUCUGAAAAUUCAUUAACAUGAACCGUUGAAUUGAAUUUGUUUGUGUUGCAGAUUUGGGUGUGGACUUGUGCAAGCAUCCUUUGUGACAAGCUCUGGUCUACUUAAUAAAGUUUGGAGUGUUAUCUCUUCUCGUGAUAAAGGCAUAGUUUCGUACUCAGGAAAUAAUGGACUGUUCUGGAAAGUUUCUGAGGAUUCGGGUUUGACGGUUGUGGCGUUUGAGGUCAACCCGGGUUUUGAUCUUCUAUCUGAUUUUGUUUCUUCUUCUUAUCUCAAGAAGAAUAAUUUCAACCACUUUGAGUUUCUCUGUACCAAGAAAAAUCCAGAUUUCUCUGUUAACAAGUCUGCAGUUGAUCUUUUCUCUGAAAAUCUUCAGAGGCUUGAUGAGUUGAAGUCCAAGGUACUUCUCCUCCUCCCCCAUUCAUUGUUCUAAGAUUUUUAUUUGAAAAAUUGCAAGCUGAAUUCAUGUUUUUCCUGCAUGACAAUUUUGUGCUACAAAUCUAGACACGAGGGUUUUUUGGUAGAGACGUGGAGGUAGUUUUGCUCGAACCUGAUUGGACCAUUUUGGGUAAAACUGAGUUGAAUUUUACUAAACCGUCUGCCUAUUACUAUGAACUCUUAAAAGUAAUUGUUACAAAAUUUAACAAUUUUCAAUUAUAUGACAAUUCAUGCUUUCAAUUGAUGUGUGGAGUUUAACGGUUGGUUUGAUUUUCUUCUUACUUCUUGGUUUUGAAAUCGGCUUUCUCAACAAUCAAUUUCUCAUCCAAAAUCUAUUAAGUUUUUAAAAUUGUCUCUAGUACAAGUGUUUUAAAAACCCAAAAAGCGGAAGGGGAAAUGUUUUAUCAUCCUCUUCUUCUGUUUUGUAGUCCAAGCUCAAGAGCCUGUGUGAUGGUGGUGCUGUAUGUAGUGAGACAUGAACUUAGUGUCAGUUUCUGCUAUCUUUAUUUUUAAAAAAAAAACUAUAAACAAUUUUUGUGAAUAGAAUUCAAACAAGCACACUUUGUUGUUUCUUUAAUUUUCUCGAAAUUUAUUGUUCUUUCUUUAUAACAGUCCUUAUCCCAAUCCUAAUCCUAGUGCAGAUUGAUAGCUCCCCUCGAUUGAUUGUUACAGGAUAUGGUGUUGGAGGACCAAUUGCUUCUCUCUUCACAUUAUCGCUACUAGGUAACAAAAAGAAAAAAGAUGACAAAAAGAAGUCCUCUGAGAAAAAGAAACCCCCUCUCUGCAUCACCUUUGGUUCUCCCCUUGUUGGUAACAAUAAGUUUCAAGAAGCCAUAUCACGUAGUUCUACAUGGAGUUCUUGCUUUCUACAUGUGGUCUCUAUCAAAGACCCAGUUCCCAAAAGAUUGAAUCCUCAAACCAGUGCUUACAUGCCUUUUGGGACAUUUCUCUUCUGUUCUGAUAUAAACUCUACUUGUUUUGAGAACCCCGAGUCAGUUUUGGAAAUUCUCGUGAGCUCAAUCAAUGAUCAAAAUCAAGGAUUUCAGCCCAAAGAUUAUAGCAACAUUGUGGUAAAUCUCCAUCGUAAAGCAAUUUUCAAGGAUGUUACCCCACGGGGGCAGGACUCGACUCAUUCGACUAAUUCACUUUGUGCAAGUAUCUGUUUGCAGUUGUGGGAAGCAGGAUUGACACCAGAUAUGCAGGUAGCUGAGUAUCAUUUAUUUCUAAAACACUUGUGUUGUAAAUCAAAAUUUUCCUAAUCUCUUGUCUAUAACUGAUUUGGCAGCAACAACACCUGAACAUUGAUAUAAAUGCUUUGGUAACAAAGUUGGAAGAAUUGGAAAAUAAAUUCAUCUACCAGAAGAGGGUAAAAUUUUAUCCAUCCAAGAAAUUGAAUGUGAUGAAGAUAGAAAUGUCCAAACUUGGGUGGUACAAGAGGUAUUGCAAAAAUCAUAAUAUUGGCUACUAUGACAGCUUCAAGAGGGGUAUCACAACAAGCGACCUAGAUGCUAUUCAGUGUCAGCAAAGCCUCAGAAAUUACUGGAUUGACAUGGUUGAAGAGGCAGAGAUGAAACCUCAGACAGAAGGUGCUGCUUUUUGUACUCGCUGGCUUUUUGGCGGAACUAAUUAUAAAAGAAUGGUUGAACCCCUAGAUAUUGCUGAUUACUAUCGUAGUGGUGGGAAAGACUACGUGGCUAAGGGAAGAUCUAGACAUUAUAUAGUGUUGGAGGAGUGGCUGGAAGAAGAGAAGAAAGAUACAAGCGAUUCAAACAGUACAAACAAAAAGAAUGUGGAAUCUAUUUUAACUUUUGACUCUUGCUUUUGGGCACAUGUUGAAGAAGCUAUCCUUUCAUGCAAAGUGUUGGAGGAUGUACAAUCUAGUGUGACAGAGAAGGAAGAGGAAACUGGGAAGUUGCUUGAAUUCGAGAAGUAUGUUUAUGGGUUGCUCACGAAAUAUGAAGUGUCAUCAGAGAUUUUCCUGGAGCAUAGCAGCUACAUGACUUGGUGGAAUCAGUAUAAGGCAAUUAAGAAUAAGGAAACUUCAUAUAAUUCAGCUCUAGCAGACUUCAUGAGCAAUCCUGAUUAUUAUAAUGUGCAGUAUGCUAAGGGAACUUAUAAUUUCCUCCCUGGGGCAUAGUGAAUGCCCGUGUUGUUGAGCAGGGUGCAAUAAAUUAUUAAUUCAUCUUUUUUUAUAUUUUCUUUGUUGAUUUUGGGUUGGUUGGGAUCUUGGUUUUAUCCUCCCUUGUGUUGUGAUGUUGGAAACUCUUGGAAGAAUUGUCUUUCCCUUGCGGACAUUCACUCUCAUUCUUCUUGAAAAUUUAAGAUGAGUAUGGAUAGCUUAGUAUUAAUGUAAUAUGAAAGGUUCGGUGUGAAAAAUCUUAUUUUUGAAUGUGUUAACUUUUCUAGCUAGGUGUGUUGGCUUCUAUUUGAUUGUAUGAAGGAAUAAGAAGCUAGGUGUGUUGGCUAAUAUCAGUGCGCGAAAUUUGAAGAAACCACAUGCCUCUAUUCCAUUAUUGAACAUUGAAUUAAAGUUAUCGAAAAAUAGUGAUGGUUUGGCAAAAAUACGGUAGAAUUAAUAAAUUUAUAAUAAAAAAUCAUAAUAAAGAGAAAAACGAGAGAAAACAAAAAGAGUGACAAAAUAAUUAAGGUGAUGCAAAAAAUAAAUAAAAAAUAGUAUAUUAUAAAAAGUGUUACAAAUCUAUAGAAAAAAAAGUGUUGUACAAAAUACCAUAUAAAUAAUAUAGUUUUUUUUAUAAUAAAAAAAGCAUCAAAGCAUGUGUCUCAAAAAUCACAUGUUUAAAGAAGAAAAUUGCUAAAUCUUACAAUGAAAAUUGACUAAAAUAGUUCAAAAUCAGUAUAUGACCUUCAAGAAAAUGAGAAGAAAUUAUGAGCAAAGAAAAAGAAAAAUAAAGAAUUCAGCAAAGUCUAAAGUUUUUGUGUGAUUAUUUGAUACAUAUUUUCUAUUGAAAAUCAUAUAAAUUUGAUCAAAAUUCAUAUUAUAAAAAUCAUCAAUUUUUAUAUAUUUUUAUAUAUUAAUUUUUUUAGUUAUGAAAAAUCUUAAUUAAAUACCAUUAAAUUUUAUAACACUCUUUAAAACAUCCUAUAAUCCCAAUUGAAUAAAGCAAAACUUAUUUUUUUUUUAUUUAAAAGUCUUGAUUAAAUAUUUCAAAACAUUUUUUUUAUAAAAACAAAUCUUUUAAAAUCCUAAUCAUCCUUAUUUCAUCUCUCUUUUUUUUUAGCAUGCUAUUUGUUACUAAGAGAACAAAGGAAUUGCACGAAAAUCGGAAUAAACGUUGGUGAUUUCUUUAGUAAAAUAUUGUUUAUAAAGAUUUAGGAACAUGAAAGCUGCUUUUUAUUGAAUUCACCGGUUGUGUGUUUUGACGAAAAAUUGAAUAGUAAAAACUAGCAUAAAGAAAAUUGUGUUAAUUCUUCCAAAAUUUGCAAAAGGAGUAAAAAAAUGCAUAAAACUAUUUAAAAAACACAUAAACUAAGAACCCAGUACAAAAAAAAAACCAAUGCAUGUUUCAUUCAUCUAAAAUAACGCGUUGUACUUGCAUGAUUUUCCCACCCCAUGUAAUAGUAGCAUUUAAAUUUGGGGUAAUCCAAAAUCCAAAUCCUGAAGCUGACGGUGACGAGUGGAAUGUGGAUAAGAUGAAGAGAGCCAAAGAAUGAUAUGGCUGGAACUUGGAACUUGGAACUUGGAACUUCAACGUCAACAACUACGUAGAUAUUUCUGCAACGAGUGGCUUCAACUCACUGCUGCAACUUAUAUUAUUAUUCCAUAAUAAUAAUAAUAACCCCUUAUUAUAUUCUAAAAAUAUGAUAGCCCCAAUUUUAUAUCCCUUUUCGUUUUCUAACAAAUUACAAGAAUCAAAUAUCACAACAUUUAAAAAAAAAAACAUUUUUUAUUAGAGAUAAUCCUGAUUUUUAUAUAGGACUUAUUGGUAAUAGACAUUCUCUCCCUGUCUCUGUAUUUAACAAAGUUUUUAAGUACAAAUCACAAAUAUCCUUUAUAUAAAGAAGAACUAAUUUUUGUUUAAAUAGUAGAAAUUAAGCUUAAAUAGUUCAUGUUUGUGUUUUUUUUUAAUUGUGGUCCUUGUAAAUUUUUUGUUUAUUUUUAGUCUAUGUAAGUUUUUUUUUUCUUUCAAUUUUACAGUAAAAAGCAAAAAAAAAAAAACUUACAAAACCCAAGAUUAAAAUAUGCAAACUUCUAAAAAUUAAAUUCAUAUGUUAAAAAUAUAUAUUAUAAAAAAAUAAAAUUCUCCUAGAAAGUAUUUCACUAUUUAACAAAGUUUGUAUACAUUCAAUAAAAUCACACACCAUUUAAUUCGAUGAGACUAAAAUUUAAAACCAAUAAUUAAACUAAGACAAAUAUUAAUUAAUAUUCUUAAAGCAUUGAUUAAAAAAUUAAAAAAAAUUAUUAAGAUAUGCACUACUAAUGUUUUUUAUAUUCCCCAAUAAUUUUUAUAAUAAAUAUUUUUUAAACUUCAUAAAAAAUAUCCUAAAACUACUUAUUAUCAGCCCCAUAGACUAAAACAAUCUUACCCAUUAAUUUAAUUUAUGCGGUAAUGGUUUCCAUGAACCACAGCAUAAUAAAUCAAUUUUAAAAAAAUGGUUUACAAAUAAUACAAAAAAAACGAAGAUAAGAACAUAUAAAGUGCAGAGCAUACAGGUGUUGUUUUGUUUCGGUCUUUCUUUCUCACACAAUCUGGGAACCACACACACAAACCAUUCCCUUUUCUCACUACGGCAAUGACCACCCAAGCUUCCACCUUCGCCGUCGCCGUUCCCUCCGUCGCAACCCCUUUCCGCCGCCACCGGAAUCCCUUCGUUGUUCGAGCCCAAGGUACGCUUCAUUCCAAUGCUGUGCUUUCUCUUCGUUUUUUACGCAAUUUCUUCCGAUCCGAUUUUCAACGCCCCAGUUAGGUGUUGGUGUUGCUUCCCAAUUCUUCUCUUAUCUUUCUUUGUAAGUUUCAUCAUUGUGUGUGUCAUCAACAAGGUGUUUGUGGAAAUGCUCUUAAGUCCUGACAUUUGGAGUGUUUUUUGACUACGAUUAAUUUUGUAACUCGUCAAUUGGGUUUUGGGGUUGAGGUUCGUGUUUGUCAAAUUUGAAAACUUUUUCGAUUUUGACAGAACUUGUAUCAGGUAGAAUAAAAGGUUGUCACUUGUCAGCUGCACAUGCAUUGCAUGUGUGUAGAGCGUAGACUGUGGAGGUGUUUAUAGAAAUAAUAAAUUAAUUUAAUUCAUUUUCUUUUCCAAAAAGAAAAAAUAAAGUUUGAGAAACUAUGACCCCGUGGUUUAUUUGUUUAAUUUUUUUUUUUUUGAAGGUCAGUUUUCUGUUUGUAAUGGUUGUGCUUUUAAUUUGAGGAUUUGAUAUCAUUGCAGUUCAAUAGUAAUAUUUUUCUUGUUCUUUCAGCGGAACCUUCAGAUAAAUCCGUUGAAAUUAUGAGGAAGUUCUCAGAGCAAUACGCCCGUAAGUCAGGAACAUACUUUUGUGUUGACAAGGGGGUCACUUCUGUUGUUAUCAAGGUACACUCACCCUCUAUCUUUGGCAUAGUAUUAUCUUAUUAAUAUGAAUUCUAAUUUUUUUUAAUACAUGGUUUCCCUUUUACUUUGAGUAGAAGACCUUGCCAAAUAACAAUCUCAUAGUUUGAUACUCCUUUAAUUGAUGAUAUGAAUCUUGGGGCAGUAAGUCCUCUUAGUCCUGUAAUGUUAGGAAGUUAUGCAGUUUUGUAAGAAGUGAAUGUCAUGGGAGUUUCGUUGUUGUAUUUCAAUAUAAAUUGAAAUUAACUGUUAGGAAUUUUUAAAGGGUUCAUCUCUAGUUGAAUUUAAGCUUUGUGGUAUCUAUACCUGUUUUCGUAGCAUAUCAAGUGAAUUUUACAUUAGGUGUGUAUUAGGUGCUGCUUGCAUUACUUAUACAAGAUUUAACUGUCUCCAAAUUGUGCUGCUACAUAUUCCUGCAAUUAGUCAUUUGCCCCAAAUUUCCUUGUAUCUUUAUCAAGCAAUCCAUCUCUUUAUAUUAGUAUGAUAUUCUUAUCAAAUAACUAGAUUUUUUUUCCUCUGUCUGUCACCUUACAUGCUUAAAAACUGGGGAAUUUCUGUAGGGGUUAGGGAUAUUAAAUUUUAUUUGUUGAUAAGACCAAGGGGGCAUCAUCUUUCUUGUUAAAGAAGCCCGAAUUUGUAAUGACUACUAGGUUUUCUUGUCAAGCUAUUACUAUUAGGAUUCAUAAAUAUGUUCCCCACUCCUUCAGUUCUCCAUCUGUCCAAUUUGGUAUUUGGCAAUGUAGAAGUCAUGGAUACUUAAAUUACUUCGAUGAAAAUGCUGGGAGAUGUCAAUCUUAGCUUGUUUGGUAAGCUGAAGAUUUGUCUUAAAUAUUAGGUUUUUCUGAUGUAGUAUGUUUAUAGUGGGGUUUCCAGGAUUUUUAAGACUAUUCAAGAAUUGAAAUUACAGUAAGACCUAGUUUAAAGUUUUGGAUGGAGAAUGGUAAGCUACUUGCUUAGUAAAUUUUGUGCACAUUACAGAGGUAAUUAUUUUUCUUUUGGUUUAAAGAAGAAAUUGUCGCAAGAAAGGAAGGAGGUUGGUUGACUUGUUUGAAGAAAAUCAACCACUCCUUACUACUCUUAGAUACCCACAAUUACCUGUUUUAAGUCAAGAUUUUUCUAGGUGGUUUUAUAUUUUAGGUUUACAAGCUGAAUUUGCUUUUUAUCUUAGUCAUAAACCCUUAGCCCAAUACUACAGUAGGAAGAAGAAACAGCAUGGGCUGCUUCAAUAGAGUAAAGGGUCAAAGUAGCAGAUUGGGCUGCAUGUAGAGGAGAAGGAAAAUCAAUAGGGAAUUGGAGGAGGCUGUUGAGGUUGUUAACUGACAGGCAAGCUGGCAUGUGUUUUUUUUAGCAGCCAAACAAACAAACAAACAAACAAAAAAAGCUGGUAUCUGUUGAUUGGAGAUUUUGGGGGGAGAAUGAUUCUGCAUCACUAAAGUGUGGGAUAAAUAAGUGUGGGGAACUGGCCAGUGAGACUGUGAGGGAACAAGGGAAUUAAGCAAUUGCUGAGUGAAUUGGGAGGAAUCUCUCAGCAUUUGGAACUCCUGUGUACCUGUCUUUGUGACUUUUUUUCUUCCUUUUCCUUUCUGCUUUACUUUAAUACCAAGGGCUACCUAUAAAUUUCAGGGCCAGUUUCCAUAUUUUCCUAUUCCGAAAUACCAGGUUCUAUGACUUUAGAUUUUGGUUGGCUGAUUUCUUCCUGAAACUAUGAUAAUAUUAUGACAUCCUUUUAAAUUGAUCUAGUAAUAUCUCAAGAAUAAUAACUAUAUUUGCAAUUUGAUAUUGUAAUAUAGUUAAUAUCCAAAGUACUUUUAGGAAGAUUUUCGCCAAACUUUAAGUUGCUUUUUAUAUAAAAGGUCUUUGGUUCGAAUCUUGCGAAUGGAGAAAUAGACUCUUUGACCCCUUAGUUGGGUCCACCUUGUUGGGGAGAUUCGAGGGGUACACCUGUAGACCGCGAGCCACCACAUAAGGAAGCCUGACACCACACUCUAACCCAAAACCUUAAGGCUCAGGUUUAUAGGUCUUUUCCUCACUUAUAUGGUGUUCAACCUUUCCACUUCUACCCGAUGUGGGACUUCACCUCACACUUGUAACCCAACGCAUCUCCCCCUCAAGUGUGAGUCUCUUCCACAUGGUAGUCUCCCUCUCGAGCGGAAGUCUUUAUCAUCCACGAGUAUAGCCAUGGUCACCUGCGGUACUUGCCCUGCCCGCUAGCCAUUCUGGCCACCCCGCUUCACCUGCGGGGCACGCUGUGCCGCUAGCCAUUCUGGCCACCUGCGGUACUUGCAUACUCGUCUGAGUCGGUCACCAACUUGAAUCAUCGGCUCUGAUACCAAUUGUUGGGGAGAUUCGAGGGGUAUACCUGUGGACCACGAGCCACCACAUAAGGAAGCCUAACACUAUACUCUAACCCAAAACCUUAAGGCUCAGGUUUAUGGGUCUUCUCCUCACUUAUAUGGUGUUCAACCUUUCCACUUCUACCCAAUGUGGGACUUCACCUAACACUUGUAACCCAACACACCUGACUUGACUCAUUAAUCAGAGUUAAAUGUAACUUCCACUCUUCCAGAUAUUGAGUGUCUCAGACAAAAAAACAUCUUCUCACAAUAGUUCAUUUUAAACAUUAUCAAAUCAUGCCCCUUGUCAUAUAAUGUUUUUCUGGUUUCAAUGCAUCUGUUUGAAUUUUGUUUGUCUUUUUUAUAUGUAAAAUGCAACUUUUUUAUGUUUCUAGUUGUCCAAUUGAUCAUGUGGUGGACAGAAUCCUUGGAUGGGAAAAUGACUAAAAAUUACAAUAGGAGCUGAAGUUGGUUGAAUAGUUUGUAAUAUGUAAUAUAUGUAAUAUAUAGCUAAAUAAGUUAACUAGCUUGAUUCAUAACUGCCAGUGCAUAAUAUGACAUUUCUCAGCUAGAAUCUGCACAGUUGGGUAAUCUAAUUGAGAAAAUUUUGUGGUAAAUUUUGAUAGUGUUCAUAUCAAGGUUUUUUUUUUUGGAAAAAUCAAAUUAGGAAAAUGAAGGGAAAAUUAUUUAAACUACCAAGAUUGACAUGUGGAAUGAAGAUAUAUGUAGUCUGAAAUAAGCUUCUCAGAUUGUGAUUUGAUUGUCAUAUUAAGGCUUUUCGAAAAAAGAAAAUCAGGAAAAUGAAGGAAAAUUUGAACAAUGAUUGACAUGUUGAAAUAAAGUUACAUGUUAUCAGAAAGAAAUUUUCCCAGAUUGUGAUCUGAUGAGCUGUAUUAUAUUCCAGUAAUAACUCAUACUUCAAUUGUGCAAUUCAGAAAUUGACAGACGAAAAUGAACAUACCAUAUCUGCAUAAUGCUAAUAUUGGAGCUAGUCAUUUUCUUGAUUUUCUUAUGUUAUUUCUAUUUUGAAACAGGGGUUGGCUGACCAUAAAGAUACGUUGGGUGCACCACUGUGCCCUUGCCGGUAGAUACUUGUUCUUUUAGCUUGUUGUCAAGCAGAAUUUGUCUUCAUACUAUAGUUCUGACAGUGUGGCUGCAUAGUUUGAUCAGUAUUGAUGUCUUCUAACUUUCCAAGUCUAAGCCCAAAAUCAUUGUAUUUUAGGCAUUACGAUGAUAAAGCUGCUGAGGUUGCACAAGGAUUUUGGAAUUGCCCUUGUGUUCCCAUGAGAGAGAGGUAUGCAUAUCUGUAUUACUAGUAUAAAAAAUAUGCCUUCUUUGAUUUCAGGUUAUCAAGUUUGAAGCUCCUUUUUUUGUAAUGACUACGUUUAUUACAAUACAAGCAUAUGCUUGUUUAAACCAGUUUCAUUUGGGAUUGUAUUAAUAAUUCUUUGAAAUCAGCAUAUAUAGCAUUCUUGGCAGAUGCUAUGCAUUGAUUAUAAUGCAAGAAGCUAGAGACUUGAUAUUUAUGCAUGAAACAACCGUAUCACAGAUCUUAUUUAUCUUGUAAAUACUAUUUGUUCAAGAUAGCUUGUGAUAAAGUCGGCCAAAAACCAUUGUAGGGACCUUGUUAUCAGGUUUUAAACCUGGCUGCCUUUCUUAGUUUAUAUUUUCGGAGGCAGUGUAACUUUCACUAUUUCGGUUUAUACCCCGUGUAUUUUUAUGCUAUGAAAGCCCUUGUAUAUUUUGUGCUUUUAUUUGUUGAGAAAGAUGGAUGAAAAAACGUAAGCUCAAAAUUGUCAUAUUGAUUUUCAACUUGUGGUUUUGUUUGACAGGAAGGAGUGCCACUGCAUGCUAUUUCUCACACCUGAUAACGAUUUUGCUGGCAAUGAACAGGUAAUUCUUUAAUUCAAUUUUUUCAAAUUUUGAUUUUGCUGUGUUGUCUGCAAGUGCUCUGCUAUAUGGUUUUGCUCCUUCAUCUAGCUCAUACAUAUUUUUUAUUAGAAUAUAAUAUUUCCUGCUCUUAAAUUAAAUUUGCUAUUUUCUUCCUUGCAGACUAUCACCUUGGAUGAAAUUAAAGAAUCAACAGCCAACAUGUAGCACAGAUUAUUGUGUAUUGAGUUACUUGUCCGUUGUUACAGGCUGUAUGUUUUGAAAGACAAGUGAAAAGAAAAGUGUAACGAUAAGUAGGUAAUAUAUUUGUAUUUACCGAAAAUGAGAUGUAUUUUUUCUAACUGCAUUCCUACUUUACUCUAUUACAAAUCUCAUUCACCUCUUCAUUUCAUUUUUUGGCUGCAGAUGCAAAAAACGCAGCUUUGUUUUAGCUAGUUUUGUUUUAAGUUUCAUAUCUUUACCAUCAGUAAAACCAACACAACCGAUGAAUAGUAUGCAUGACAAGGAAAUCUUUAGUAUGUUUCUAUGAACAAGGAUGUACAUUGAAAAGUGAUAUAUUUAUGAGCUUAUUUUAUAUGGGUAACAUUAAUUCGCAAGGAUUUUUAAAAUGUGACUCAAUGUCAAGAUUUUUAAGGUGUCCACAACUACAAUUGUGUCUGCAUGACUGCAUCAGUCGUUUUUGUCUAUAAUUUGUUGUAAUAUCAAAGAAUGUGACAACCUCCACUGAAAUUUAAAACCUUGUUUGUGUACAAUGACAGAUAUGAUCCAAAUCAAAACAAAUCCCAAUACAGAUGAUUUCAAUAUCGUAGUUCAUGGAUGCAAUGUAAUCAUGAACAUUCAAAUUACACUGUAAAGCAAUACUGUAUUGCCAUCAAACCACCCAAGAAUCAAUAAGUAACACAUCAAGCAUGUAGCAAUCAAUAGGCCUUAACAGAAGGUGUACUAGGAGGAGAAGUAGAACAAGUUGCACCAUUUUUGGCACAUUCUUGUCCAGUCCUCUUGGCAAAAGCAGUCAAGAACCGAUUGUUCCACAAACCAUUAGAAACACAAGCUGAUGAAGAAGCUGAAGCUCCUCUGCUACAGGCAUGAUCAGCAGGGAAACGAUGCUUGAGGCACACCUUAAUGUGGCAAGUUUUACAUGUGCUGGUGUUGGAAAACGUCAAAACCUCCCUGCAACGCUUGACGGGACAAAUUGGUUUCUUCUUCUUGGUAGGGUCACAAUUACCAGACUUGAGGUGCUUCUGCAAGAUUGCCUCCUCGUCUUGUCCCACAUGGCCGGUGGUCUCGAUGGACAUGGAACAUGCUUCGCAAACAACAACCUUUCUGCUGUUGUGGUCGGAUUUCAGGCACGCGUGGGACUUGUAGGAUCUGUGUUCCAAACAAAAGAUCUGCCAUUGCAUUGCAGCCAUGUUAGUGUUGUUGGCCAUGUGAACUAUUUACAAACAUUUCUUAGUAAUUCACUACAACAAUCAAGGAUUUAUUAUGAUUUUUCUAAUCAAAAUAGACUUAUAGAUUCAUUAAUAAGAAGAGAAUAAAAUCAAGAUACUUUUAUUUGUUUCCACAUACAUGAUCGUAAUUCAUAUAUCUUACAUAUGCCAAUUUGAAUUGAUUAGUAGUACAUUAUUCUAAAUUUUAUUUUAUUUUUUUAAUUUUUUUACGAGUAAUAAUAUUUAUUCCACAAAUUUGAUUGAUUGAUAACAGUUAAUUUUCCAUUACAACCGAUUGAGAAAACAAUAAUCGGUAUGAUAACUGUUCAAUUGACCUUGUAAAAUCUACUGCACAAAUUAAUCACACCACAACAUUACAUAUUAAUUUGAUUUUAUAAAAAUAAUUUUGAUUAAAAUGAGUUUCAAACAAGAACUUAAUUUCAAUACAUUAUCAUUAUAAAAAGUUUUACAAUAUGAAUCAAUUGAAAAGUUGUGAUUUUGAAGUAAUUAUUAUACAUUCAACCAUUUUACUGUGCAUAACUUAGGGUUGAAUGACCGUCUAAAGUAACUUAUACUUUCAAUUUUCAUCAUAAAAAUAAAUUCUAAUGUAAAAUUCUUAUCCUGCCGUGAAAAGGGCUUUUUCUUUCAAUUUUUAGCCUAACAUGUUUGAAAAAGUAAAAUUACCCCCGACUAAAAUAAUCAAAUAUAAGAUAUUUUUGUAAGAAAGAAAAACACGUUGGAGGCUCUGAAACGCAAGUUGAAAGCUCUCAAAUACAAAUCCAGACACAAUACUAAUCACUUAUGCUAUUCCAAUUAUUGACGCAAAAGUAUUAUACAUCUCCAGCACCGAUAUUUUGAUUAAUGAUUAUAGACAUGAUGAACAAGAGAUUUUAUUUUAUUUUAUUGAGAAUAAAAAAAAAUACAAGUUGUUAGGUGCAUAAGUUAUAAGGCGUUCUAAUUAUGAUGCUAUGGGAACUAAAAAGGGUGAUGAAUAAUGAAUUACCUGUUGGCAACCGUCGCAGGUGAAAGGAAGAAAAUCGAGCUGGUUGCAAUCGCGGUGCUGGCAGUGUUUACCCAAAUCUGGAAAAGCUUCUGUUCCACCCGAUGCCAUGGAUAUAGUUAGGGUUCUGAGUUUUGUGAAGGGAACGAAAAACUGAUGAAUAAAUGUGGAUUAUGAAUAUGAAUUGAAGAAGAAGAAUAAAAAGAAGGCGUGUAUUUAUAGGUUUGGUAAUGGCUUGGGGCUUAAGUCAGCCAUUGCGAGAUAACAAAAGAAGGUUCUAGCAGCAGUCGCCAAUUGCGAGUUCCCACUGGGCGGCUACGCGGCAAGAUAACUUAUUAUCCUUUUUCCUUUUACUAUCUGGAUAGUGGUUACAAGAUGAUAUUUUUAUCGGGUAACAUUCAAAGAUGGAUAAUAUAAAUUUAGUUUCUCACAUAAAAAGUAUGAUAAGUUAGUUUUAUCAUAAAAUUUGUGAGACUAUUUUAUUAUUAGGUUGUAAUGUUAAAUAAUCAAUAUGAUAAUAAGUUGUAUUUUUUGAAUAUCAAUUUAAUAUUAAGUUAUAAAAUUUAUAGACUAAUUUAUUAUUAAAGUGUUUUAAUGAUUAAUUUGUUAUAUUUUUUGUAUAUUUAAGUACUAAAUUUAAUUUUUCUCUCUUUUAUGGAUUAAUUUAUUAACAUCUCAUACUUUUUGGAGAAAUUUUACUAUUUAGCCUAUUUUUAUUUUUUUAUUUGUUUUCUUAUUGAGAUUUUAUUUUUACAUAUUUAGUUCACAUGGAUUAUAAUAUUUAGGGUUAGGGGUGUUCCUGGGACGAUUCAGGUCAAUUUUGGCCAAAUUUAGGACUCAAUCCUCAAAUUUGAUCGAUUUGGUUUGGUUCAAUUUUCAUUAUUUUUUAAAACCCAAUCCAACCCAUUCAUAAACAGUUUGGUUUAGUUCGGGCCAACGUGUUAUAUAUAUUUAAAUUUGACAUUUUUUUCUUAGAAUUACUAUUUUAAAUCAUUAUUCAUCCAAAUAUCCAAUAUAAUUAACACAAUAUUAUUAAAUGUCUAAAAGUAGUAAAAUUGAUCUAUUUAAUACCAUCAACAUAAUAUUCUACAAUAGGCUAAUAAAAAUUAAAAUAAAAUAUUUUUUUUAACAAGAUUUACUCUAAUAGUUUGAAUCAUAACUAUUUCUUACAAAUUAAUUUUUUGCAAUAAGUUUUGCUGCAACCAGAUUUGUUGCAACUAGAUUUAUUGAAACAAAUGAAAAAAAAUAUAAUCCAUUAAUAUUAUAAAUAUGACAAAAAAAAUAAAUAUGAAAAAAGGUAAAACCAAUAAUAAUGUAUCUGAAAGUAAUACCUUAAGAAGUUUUAAUACUAGUAGUCUCAACACUUGUAAUUCCUACACUUGGAGUUGAUAAGUGUUAUGCAUACGCCAUUUAUAUACUGAAAUCACAUAGCAAUUAUCUCAUUUUCUUAUCUUUUAUUGCUUAUUUUGUGUUAAAACAAUAUGAAUUUCACUUCUUCUGAGUUUUUGUCCAAAAGAUGCUUAAGUUAAUGAUUUUAUAGUAACUUUGGCUGAGUUUUGUGUAGAGUUGUAGCAAAGGCAUGGAAGGCAAUUGAAGAACUCGCAUUGAAAGACAAUUGUCACGAGCAAGCGCACUUCCUGGGGCUUAGCGCAUAACCACUUGAUCUAGCUGAACAUGCGCGCUCAGCACGAGUGUCACCCUAAGCGCACAGGAAAGUUCUGAUUAACCCAUUAGUUGGUGAAGCAUAUAAAAAGAAAGGAAACAUUUGUUUUCCUAAGCACCAAGUAACCAUAGAAGAAGCAGAGGAACAAAGAAGAAGAGAAAAACAAAGAAGUCAGUGCAAGAAAAAUAUGUUUUUAGAGCUCUGGUCAAUCCGUUUCAAUCCAUUUUUCUUCCAUUUUCUUUCCUUUCAUCUCACUUUUAUAUUUGUAAGUCUCUCAUGACAAUCAGAGGCUAAAACCACCCAUUGUCGGGAGCUCUACAAACCAAACUCUCUUUGAUGUAAUGAUUCCAAACUAUCUAUUAAUAUGAUAUUGAUAUUAUUGUUCAUCUUUGUGCUCAUUCACAUGUCUUUGGUUUGAUCAUCUAUUUUCAUAAACUGUUUUAGGAUUUAGGCAUGGAAAAUAUUUAUAUGCUAAGAACUGGGGAAAACAUUUAGGUAAUCUAUGUCUCGGGAUAGAGUGGUAUUGUCUAGCCUAUGCAUGUAUCUUUGCUCAUAAUGUAAAUUAUUUAAUAUAACUCUUAAGGGAUUAGGAGCGAUAUUAGGUGAUUUAGACUCUCUCACUUGAGGGAUCAUGACUAGAGUAUGUUAGAAGGUCCGGGUAAUAAUCAUAUUCACGUUAAAAAGAGAAAAAUCUAUUAAGAUUACAUCAAGAGUAGUUCUUGCAAGCGGAGCCCCCAACACUUUCCUUAACUCAUCACAACAUCAUCUAACAACAUUCAAGCAUUUGUUUUCUUAACCUUUCAUGUUCCUUGCUUUGUAGUAAAUUCACUUAGUUAUAUUUGUAGUUAAUCAAUGAACAAGAUUCGAUUUGAGUCACUAAUUGCUUAAUCAUUAGAUAUAUAUAACUCUAAGUACAAACAUAAUUAAAACCAAAUUAAACAACUCUAAAAUUUUUGAUCAGUUUUAAUCGGAUCUAUAAAUUUAAAACCAUGACUCAACCCGUAUAUGAAUGGUUUUGAUCGGUUUAGUUCGAUUUUGAUCCAAAUACAUAAAUGAUCCAACCCAAAUUGUUCGGAUCCGUUUAGGUCAAUUCGAGUUCAGAGGUGACUCGUACUCGUAAACACCCCUAAUAAUUUGUAUUUUUAUUAUAUAUCUUAGUCAUAAAUGCUUUAGAUUUAAAAUGACCAAGUUAAAAAUUAUAUUUUAGAUUUACACAAAAUAUUGAUAUAAAGUUACUUUUAACUAUUAAUAGUUUUGAAAAACAUUAAAAUUUUAUUUAGAGAUAGAGAUUAGAGAUUGUAGAUUAAAAGUGAUAAGUGAUUGCUAACAUAAGUUUCUAGAUAAAUAUAAAAUACAGUAGUUUGAGAUGAAUGUGAGAUUUUUUUUUACUAGCCGUGAGUCCGUGAUAAUAGUGUAUAAAACACAUAUCCACAUGAGAAAAGAGAGAGAUCUUGAAAAUGUCUAAUUGAUAUGAUAAAAAAAAGUGUAAACUUUACCGUCCAUGUUGUGUUUCUUAAUUUAAAUGGUUAAUCCUUUUUGCUAAGCAAUUCAAGCUAAACUUGUUAAGCAAAUGAUAUGACUAUUUUGAGCUUGUAGGAACUAUCAUCAAGUUUCGGAGCAAAGAGAAAGAUGUUUGACAACAUGUUCACAGUGUGUAACUUGUUUUCUUCUCUUCGGGUCUUCCUUUUAUAAGCUUCUUUAGGAAAUAUUUGUUGUGAACAAAUAAGUUUUUGUUUCUUUCGAGUCUUCAUUUAAUGCAUGAAGAGAUUUUUCUCGUUUUUACUUCAUACGUGUCUUCCUUUGAACGAGGAGAGAAUUUGUGAUUGUUCUUUUCACCAAAAGGUAUGUACUUUUCUGGAAUGCAAACUUGCUUUUUUGUACAUUCCUUCUUUUGACUUUCUUUUUCUGUACUUGCCUUGGUUGACUACUUUUGAUCAAGGGUUGUAUUUAUAUUUAGAAUAUCAAACUUUUUGUUAAAUGCUAAAGAUAUUUAAAUGUUAGAGCAUUUUCAAUGCAAAGGUAAUUUCAACUAAGGUUUAUUCGAGGAUGGAAGUCCAAAGCAUGAAUCCUUAACGAAACGAACAUAUUGAAUGAAGAGCUUAAACAUGUGUUCACUUUGGACAAUAGAAGACUUAAGUUAUUUCUAAAAUAACAUUAGAUACAAAUUUUCUAUAUAGAAGCAUUAGACGAUUCUUUUUUAAUAGUGUGUUAGAUGUUGAAUUUUAUGAAAACAAACUUUGGACACGGAUUUUAACAGCUCAUUGGACUCUAAGUACAAAAUCGAUUUUUAGCAUAUGCAAGUUAUAAUGAAUAUACCUAUUUCUUCAUUGGAUGCAAGUUCAAUUUGCAUACCUCAAAUAGCCUCAUUUGUUCAUCAAAAUUUAAUAACCUUUUUUAUAAUCAAAACUAUAAGAUUUUAGAGGCUUGACAUUUUUCAUGUCUUUGAUUCCAAUAGUGUAUUUAAUUUGUUGGCUUAACAUCCGGUGUCCCUCCUUGGAUUCGAUGGACUUAACAUCAUAACCUAUUACGCUUGUAAUAGGCGCAACCCCUUAAGCUAUAUGCUACUCUAAAAAAUUAUUUAAGGAAAUAAAGUUACACUCUUGAUAAUAGUUAUAACUUUUACCCUAGUAAUAACCACUUGAUCCUACAAGUGGCAUCAGAGAGCGAGGCCAUGGGUUUAAAUUCUCCGAGUGACACUAGGGAGAGAUUAAUUUGUUAACUUAACAUCCAACCUCUCCUAGUGAAUAGGCUCAACAUUUCAACCUUUGGCACUUGGAAGUCCCUCGAGCUAGGUGUGGCUUAAAAAAAUGUUUAAAGAAAUAAACUUAUGUCCUUGCUAACAAGUAUAACUUAUAGCUUAGUGGUAAGCCUUUGAUCCUACAAAAGGGCAUUAGAGAAUUUUUUUAUAAUUAUAGUUAAAUUGUUUUUUAUGUUUGUGUUUGUCAAUCAAUUUGAUUAUUGAUAUUUAAGACAGGCUAAGUUAGACAAGUGGAGGAUGUGGUUUAUGGUGGACAAGUUUACAAUAAUCGUUAGAUUUAUUGAUUGAAUAUUGAGGGGUUUAGAUGAGUUGGUUGCAACCCUUUGUAAGGGUUAUAAACAAUUAUUUUUUUAUAUAGCAUGAGUAUUUUACACAUUUGUCCUUUAUUUGAAAAAGUAAUGUCCUUCUUCUAUGAGAAAACCAAAACGAAUUCGUUCUAGAAGUUAUUCAUCCACCCCUUAAUCAAGCGGCCAAACUUCCAGCCAUUUCCAGUGCAUUUCUUCCAUUUUUGUUUCAUUUUUUAAAGGAAACUGAUAUCAUAACCACUAAAUUUUGAUGAAUAACUAUACAUUUAUGUGCAGAGUUAGAAACUAAGUUCAAGUCACAAAAUGACAAUCGAAGGCUUCCCCUUUGAGUGAGGGGUGGGGAUUGUGUUAGAUCUGUGAAAAGGAAUAAAUCUGCAAAGGGCUUUCGACUUUUGUGAUUUGCUUUAGGAUUUUGGGUUCUUUGAAGAUGAGCAUACCACCACAAUAAGUAGACCUGCAUGUGCUCGCUAACAAUGCAUCCAGCGCGUUCUAGUGUAGCCUUCACAAAAGCUUUUACUCUCGCUAGUUGGUGUCAUUGUCGCUAUAAUAGUUGUCAAUGGACUGAACAAUGAUGUUACUCAUGCCAACUAUGACUUCAUUUCAAUAUGAAGAGUGUAAACUUUAUUGUCUAGAUCUAAAAUAAAUAAUCGGUAACUUGUAAAAAAACAAAAAAAAAACCUACCAUAUUUGCGUAAGAUAAAUAAAUCUACCAAAAAUGAACUUAUGAGUUUAAAAUGCUGGCAUAAUACUUACGUGUUGAAGACAUGAUAAAAACAUAAAAAUGGUUUGUGCAUAGUGCGACCUCUAAAAACUCAAAAGUUAAGUCUUUCUUUGUUUAAUCACACUCUCUUUAUACUAGAGUUUUCAAUAGGACAAAUCCUACAGAGCAAUUGAUAACAUGACGACAAAGAAGAUCUAACCUUGUUAUUUAUUAACCCUAGACACCUCUCACUAUGGGCCCAAUGAUUAGGCCCACACUAUUUUGCUACACUGAUCAGAAUUAGGUAUCCAAAACCCCAAACAAUUAAUCACAUUAUUAGUGGACUUAAGUAUCAUCAAAUGAAUCAUAAUAUUAAUCCAUUUUUGGCAAAACAAAAUUUUACAAUUAAUUGUAGCCCACAAGAAUAUAUGUGAAAAUUCUAACAUUCUCCCACUUGGGAAAAACAAAUAGUGUAUUUUAAAUUUUAAAAAUAUUUUAAAAAAUGACUCUCUAGCUAAUAACAUACUAUGGCCACAAAACAAAUGAUCCCAAGAUACAACACCUAAUUAAGAAUCCAUCCAACAAAAAUCAUGUAACACCGAAUCAUGCUAGUAAUUACAUUUCUCAUUGAUGCAACACCUUCCAUGAUUACAAAUAUUAUCGACUAGUCAUUAAUGUGGAGUGUAGCAAGAAAUGAUGUGACAAUGUGAUUAAAAAUUCAUACCAUCAUUUUCUCUAGCAAUCCUUAAUUUCUCUCAAGUGUCUGAAAGCCAGACAAAUUACAUGAUUUAUCAAGAAACUGUCAUGUGCCAACUCCAAUUCUAGUGCCAAUCACCGACACAGUGAUCCUAACUACACCGAGCUUUAAUAUCAUUAUGCCUAAGCUCGAAUUUUGGUGUUGACCACUAGCAUAGGGGUCCUAACAACACCGAGCUUUAAUAAUCUCACAUUUGAUAUACACACACAAAAGGUAUCGUAAUGAAAUUCAUAUUAUCAUUUAUUCAUCAAAUCAAAUGUAAAAUGUCAUCAAUACGUCAUUUUCCAAAAUUCAAAAUAAGGAUCCAACAACAUGAAAAAGGAAAUAAUGUGAAUCUAAAGCUCCCACUAACCAAAAAUAUCAAAAGAACUCACAAUGCCCAUGUUUUCAAGAUGUCGUUUAAAAACAACAGGCCUAAGUCCCUUGAUCAAUGGAUCAACCAACAUGGAAUCUCUGUCCGCAUGAUCUACCACUAUAGAACCAUCUUUCUCAAGAUCUAUAACAGUUAAGUAGUUCAACUCCAAGUGCUUAGAUCCUCUAGAAGUCUUAUUAUUCUUUGUAUAAAACACAACAACGUUGUUAUCACAAAAAAUCUUCAGUUGCCUAGCAAUGAAGUCUACAAUGUGAUGUCCUAUCAUAAGAUUCCUCAACCAAACAACAUGAGUACUGACAACAAAACAAGCAAUGAACUUUGCUUACAUAGUAUAAGAGGGAACAAAAGUUUGUUUCUUACUCAUCCAAGAUAUCGCACCCCAGACAUCAUAAAGAUGUAUCUAGAAGUCGAUCUCCUAUCAUCAAGGAACCCAUCAAGAUAUGAAUUUGUGUACCCUACAACCUCCAAGUUGUCAACUUUCCUAUAGACAAGCAUAUACUCCUUAGUCUUCUGCAAGUACCUCAUCACCUUCUUAGAAACUAUCCAAUGGUCAUUCUUAGGGUUCGACAGGUAUAUACCAAGAACACCAACUAUGAAAGCAAUAUCGAGUCUAGUGCAUACCUGAGCAUACAUGAGGUUGCCCAGAGCACUCCCAAAAGGUUUGUUGUUCAUCUUUGCUCGCUCAAUCUCAUUCUUAGGACAUUGGUCUUUGUUGAAUUUGUCACCUUUGACAACUGGAACAUCUCCAUGUUUACAAUUCUGCAUAUUGAAUCUCUAUAAGACUCUAUCAAUGAAGCCUUUUGUGAUAACCCGAGUGUAUGGCACGAUCUAUCUCUGUGGAUCUCAAUCCCCAACACAAAAGAGGCCUCACCAAGAUCCUUCAUAUCAAAAGAUCUUGUUAGUAUAUGCUUUGUCUCAUGCAGCAUGUCGAGGUUAUUAGAAGCAAACAUUAUAUCCCACAUAUAGCACAAGGAAGAUAAAUUUUCUCCCAGUGACCUUGAGGUAUAUGCACUAAUCAACCUUAUUCUCCUCAAAUCCCAUGUAGCUCACCACUUCAUCAAAUUUUAGGUACCACUGCCUAAAAGCUUGUUUCAAGCUAUAAAUUGACUUUUUUAGUUUACAUACCAAGUCCUCAUUACCAUUAAUACAAAAACGUUCAAUUGUUGCAUGUAUAUUGUCUCACUCAAAUCACUAUUCAAAAAAGUUGUCUUUGGAUCAAUAAUAUCUCUAAUGUCAUAUGCAUCCUCACUAAGAUAGACUUGAAAGUCACCACCAAUAGCAGGUAUCCUCUCUCUAGUUGACCUCCUCAAAGGAACUUGUGAAAUAUGCUCAACUGAUUUGUGCAUUCUCAUACACAGUAGAAGGAUCAAGCAUAUAAUUAGCUUGAGAGCCAAUAAUAUCUCCAGUCGCAACUAUGGUCUCAAAUGGAUAUAAAGGGUUGUUUUCAAGGCUUCUUCCAACAAAAAUUUUGGUAAGUUACAUCUACUCAUCAUGCUUCUCAUCAUAUCUUUAAGUGUUCUAUUACACCUUUUGGCUACACGAUUUUGUUCAGGUGUCUCAAGCAUGGUGUAUUAUGGAACUAUUCCAAUAUCCUACAAGUAUAAGGUGAAUGGCCCUAUAUGUUGUCUUGUGGCACCAUAUUUACCAUAAUACUAUCCACCAGAGUCAGACCUUACAAUCUUAAUGACUUUUCCCAACUCCUUUUCUAUUUUGGUUUUAAAAUUUUUGAACUUUUCAAGUGCCUCAAAUUUUUCUUUAAUCAAGUAAAGAUAACCACAUCAGGAAAAUCAUCAAAGAAUGUAAUGAAAAAAAAUUGUUACCAUAAAUUGUAGAAUUUAAGGGUUCGCUAAUGGUUGUAUGAACUUCUAGUUGUGCCUUUUUUUUAGUAAAUGUUCCCCUAUACAAUCCACACAAGUACUCAAGUCAUCAAAACCUAAGGAGGUAGAAUAUAUGUCUUUGUCAAUCUCUCAACCCUUUUCCUAUAAAUAUGACCUAAGCACUUGUGUCACAUAUAUGAUUUUUCUUCAACUUUAGACCUUUUAGCAAUAGAAUUCUUAACAACUAAAUAUGAAAGAAAUAUUGUUAGAAUCCAAAGACAAUUUAUAUAAACUAUCAACUAAAAAUCCAUAACCAAUAAUUUGGGAGUUUAAUAUUAGAUUUAUUUUCCUAUCACCAAAAGUAAAACUAAAACCAAGUUUGUCUAAACGAGAAACAUAAAUCAAAUUUCUCUUAAAAGAAGGUACAUUAAAGGUAUCCUUCAAAACCUAUUCAAAUCCAGAAGCUAAAACUAGGUUGACAUCUUCUACUUUCUCAACGCAAACUUCAAGAUCAUUUCCUACCCUUAACUUGUUUUUCCUCAGACAAGGCUCCCUUAAAAUUUUGAACCCCUCCUAAUUUUUGCUUGUUCUUUAGCCAAGUCUUAAACUUUCCACAAUUAGAUUUCUUAUGAAAAUUUUUGGAUAGGAAUUAGUUUCGUCUUAUCCAAAAUAAUGAUCCAGUCAAUGGACAAAUGCAUCAAAAGAACAUCCUUAUCAGUCAUAAAUGAAUCAAAGAGCCUUCUCCACAUAUUUUGAACUCAAACAAUAAUAACCAUAAAUUAAGGCAUUCUAACUUUUAAGUUUUAACUAAACAAAUAUCAAUAAUAUUUAUAGCAGAAAAAUUAAAUAAAUAAAAAUAAAUUUAAAAGUAUACCAAAAUUUCAUAUUCCGGUAGUUUAAUCAAAGCCCAACAUAAAUUGAAUUGAAUAUAACAUAUGCAGGAUAAAAUGUUAUAUCAGAUAGGCAUUCAAUAAAAUGGAACAAACUAAUAACAUAAUGUAUAACAGAUUGCUUGAAUUGAAAAAGAAUAAGCAAUCAUCGUAACAAAUAUUAUAUGAAUACACACACACACACACACACACACACACAUAUAUAUAUAUAUAUAUGAUAAGUUAAGAUAAAUAAAUCUAUCAAAAAUGUAUUUAUAUAACAUAAAUAAUAUUUACUUGUUGAAGACAUAAUAAAAAAGAUGAGAAUGAUUUAUGCAAAACUCAAAAAUUAAGUCUUACUUUGUCUUAUUACACUUUCCUUGUAUUAAAGUUUUCAAUGGGAUAAAUCAUAUUUAGCAAUUGAUAAAGUGAUGACAAAAUAGACCUAACUUUAUUACUUAUUAACUAUAACCACCUUUUAUUAUGGGUCUAAUGGUUAGACCCACAUUAUUUUUCCACAUUGAUUAAAAUUAGAUGUUAAAAGCCCAUAAACAAUUAAUCACAAUAUUAGUGGACUUGAGUAUCAUUAAAUGGAUCAUAAUAUUAACCUGUUUUUGACAAAAUAAAAUAUCAUAAUUAAUUAUAACCCACAGAAAUAUAUGAAAAAAUUUCUAAUAAUAUGAUCACAAAAUAUGAUUCACCAUAAACUAUAAGUUAUUCUUCUACAUCGAAAAAGUUGUCAAAUCUUUGGGAUUAAAAUUAAUAUCAAUAAGGUUCACGGUCAAAUUCACGGUCAAAUUCAAAGACCAAAUUAAUAUUUUUUUUAUAUGAUUAAAUUGACCAAUACCAUUUUUUACUUAUAUGGUUAUAAAAUUCAAUUAUACUACUGAUUUUAAGACUAAAUUGUUAUUUAGAAAUAGAAAAAAGAAGUGGGGAUUGAACAUUCCACCCUGAAAACAACCCAUAUCUUUCAGCAACAAUAAAAUGUGUAUUGUGGGAAGUGAAGGGGAUGAAGUUUUUAAAACUUAUCUUUUCUGAUUUCGAAAUUUGAGGAGAAGAAUGAGAGAUGAAAGAGCAUAUAAAAUCAUUUUUCUUCAUUUCCCCCCUUUCCCAAUUAUUGUUCAUUUACCUUUUCCUACACUAGAGGGUAUAAUGAUAUACUUCUAUUAUUUUUCCUCAUCUUCUCUUCUUUUUUUUUAGUAGCAAAACGGAAGAUGAGCUAAAGCUAACAAGGAUUGACAUGGCACCUCAACCCUCAGCAACACCAAAAGACUCACCUUGAAUAUAUUGAAGGAAAAAGAGAACAAACAAUUGGUAGGGUCAAACCAUAUCCAAAGUAAAUAGACUAUGAGAACCUAAAGGAAGGGAGCUCAUUCUUUUACCUAAGGAGUUCCUGGGAAAGAAAAGAUGAUGGUGAGUCCCACCAAAUAUAUCUUGUAUGUUGUGCACCAAAAGAAGCAAGCUUGUCAGCACAAGCAUUGUCUUCACGGAAAAUGUUAGACAUUCUAAAACUAAUACUCGCAGUGUAAUUUAUAUAAUUCAACCAUCUAGUGUAAAUAUUCCAAGGCACCGAAAGAGGGUUGGAGUAAGCAUGAAGAAGGAGCUUUGAAUCUGUUUCCAGCCAAAAAUAGUUCCAGUUUUGACUGACUGCUAUUUCAAUACACUACUACAAAAGCAGAAUUCAACGUCGGUUUAAAUGGGUAUACUACGUCGAUUGAAGACCGUCGUCGUCUGCGACGACGUAAUAAAUUCGAUGGCUUUCAAAGACGGUUAUAGAAAACCGUCGUAGAUAUUACAGAAUUCUAAGACGGGCUGUCGGUCAGCCCCGUCUUUAGAACUUACUAGAGACUACGACGGCCAUAAGGACAGCACCGUCGUAGACAUAAUCUUGUUCUACGACGGUUGUUUCCAAAGGACCGUCGUAGUAAGGUCCACAAUUCAAACACGGCUGUCAACAGCCCCGUCGUAGAAGUAACAACAGAUUACGACGGGCAUGGGGACACCACCGUCGUAGAAGUAACAACAGACUACGACGGUUGUCUUCCCAGAACCGUCGUAGAAGGGUCCUAUCACUACAACGGUGUUUUGUUGCGGACGACCGUCGUAAGAGACGGUGUUAAUACUACUACGGUCACGUAACAACACCGUCGUUGAGAUAAACGUGUUCUACGACGGUUGUAUGGCAUGGACCGUCGUAGACUUGUAUUAAUACUACUAUGGUUUGCUUUGUAGGUCCGUCUCAGAAACAUCACGUUUCUACGACGGUCGUUUCCUUAGAACCGUCGUGGAAUGUUUUUUUUUUUUAACAGCAAAUUGUGCAGUAAUAAUGUGCUGGUUCCACGGUUUUAUUUUUAACCCAAGCCUUGUGGAUGGCUGUUCAGGUUAUAGUACGUGCACAAUUGUCCUAUAAUUUGAACCUGAUCAUAAUAAUCGGGAGAAAUAUACAUUUAAUUAGUCAAAUAUAAUCAUAAGAGCACAUAAUUAAGGAAUAAAAAGAUGAUAUAAGCACUUUGAAAAUCCUAAAAGCAGAUGAAAAUGCUUCUUAGAAGGAUACAUGCAUGAUAUAUAAUGUCUGUUGAUUUUAAAGUCAUUAAAUUAAGACACAGAGCUUAAUUAAGGAUCCCUAGUGACUCAACCAUUUGUUCAUUGAAGUGAUUACCUUGUAAUAAGAUCUGUUGAAGGUCACAGCUUGGUUGAUGUGUCCCCCUGUAGCAACAACAAGAACAAACAAACCCAAUAGAUCAUAGACUUUAAUAUGGUAAUUUAGAGGAACAACAAAGUGACCACCACCCUGAUGGUAAUUUCAGGUCACCUGCAGGUUUAAACAAAGGAGGUGGGGGUACCUCCUUGUUAUGAACAGAGAAGCUUCAAUGGAGGGCAGCAGAGACAUAACAGCAAUGACAGAGGGUGAACUCACAAACACAGGGGUGCAGAAGGAAAUAAUACUCAAAAGAAAGGUCAAAAAGCCCACCUAUUUGAAGGAUUUCGUCUGAAGGAAUCUAGUGAGAAUUUUGCAGCUCACGCAAUUUUCCACAAUCCUCCUUCUGAUGCUGUAUAUCUGAGGGGAAGCAGCCAUAACAGAAUUAGUUAUGUAAUAUUCCUAGGAUUAUACCAAUUCUAGAAGCAAAUUAUUCCUUCCUAGGAUCUAUAAAUACUAUGUAAAUAACAUAAGGAUUAAUAAUGAAAAAGCUGGGAAUUCCUUAUCUUAGAUCUUCUUCUCUUGGUCUUCCUUUCUUGCUCUGGAGGAGCUGAACCUCUAAAUCAGCCACAUUCAUAACACUCCUUGUAGUCCUUGUCAGCACCACCCUGAGUGUAAGUUACCUAGCUGGGUUUAAAGUCAGCAAUUGUAACAGUAAAAGUUAAUGACACGACAACAUUAUGAUAGACAAUUAAGUACAAGCAAAAAAGUUAGUUAUCAAAUGUUAAGUGAAACAAAAAGCAGAGAGAAAAUUAAAUUCAGUAUACAACUCAAGCAUUAACUGAAACAAUAUACUGUUCAAGGCACACGGCCACAUUGAAGGGCUGGAUAGGAAAUUGUUCAAGCUGAGAGAAAAUUAAAUUAAAUAUACAACUCAAGUUAUCUAAACAAUGUACUGUUCUUAGCAGACAAAUAAAAUUCUAGCCUACACGAAAACUGUUCCUAAGUUAUCAAAUUUUUUCUUGGUUCACAUUUCUUCAUUUGGAUAAAAUAGGCCGCCCAUUUAUGCCGGAGUGUGGUCAUGGUCUCUUCUGUUAGCGGUGAUCGAUCAGAAAACCACUGCACAUGUAUAUAUGAAUUUAUUAGUAAAUGACAUAGCAUCAGGUAAAAAGUAAUGACGUCUAAUUACAUUAACAAGUAAAUCAAUAAUCAGAAACAUACGUGAAUCCAGUCAUCCUUCAAUCCACCACUUACGAUGCACCAUAUCCAUUGCAUAACAUAGUAUCCACACUCGUAAUUUCCUGUUUGAACAUGACUCUACACGACAUACGCACACACAUUACGUUGUGAAUUCAGUCAACGCAAACAGAAAUGACAUCCAUAUGGCAUUUGGAAUUUAAAUAAACAUGUACCUUUGCUUCAAUCCACUGAGGCCCAUGCUGAGGUGGCUUUCCCUCUGCAGUUUUGGUGACUGAUUUCAUUGCACUAUUUUCAAAAUAGAAACAAAGCAUUACGAUCAUUGGUGGUUUGUUGUAGGAGUAUUGAGGCACGGUAGAGGCAGCACUAACCUGUUUACUGCACCCUUGAUGGUAGCAUCCGGCUUCUUCUUCAAAGAACAAAACCAAACCACUACAUUGUCGCCUGGGCACAAUACAACGAGCUGCCAAUGGGCCCUGAACAGGUAAAGAUACUUCAUUAAGUCAAUAUGUUAAACAUUACCGUACUCGACCAACAUUAUUUGCUCAACUUACUGGUUUAAAUAAGGUGCUAUGUAAAUUUGUUUUCCUGCUUCCUUCAACCACCUUCCAAUGUAAUUUUCACACUCUUGACGUCUACUGCUUGCAUUGUGGAUACACUGAGGUUCAAGGAACCCAUACAAUGGUCCAUAACCAAUGCUCGCACUCCAAUCAUGAAUAAACCUAUGUAAAAUUCAUGGUUUCAUAAAAUACAGUUAAUAGGUUAUUUAAGGUAGCUAACUCAAUUCUACAGUGUACAAAUGUUUGAGCUAAUAUGGGUAUACACUUACAUAAGCCAUAGUUGUAGAAUGGAGAUGUUUAAACACUUGUCUCCUAAUAUUAUCUCGCUCACAUCAGCGUGUGUGAUGAAGAAGCCAUCUUUGACAUUAUUGAUCCCAAAUUUAGCACCAUCCCAUGACACCUCAACAGGCCUUUGGUAAAUGUCGAACAAGUUCUUCACCAACUCUCCCAAUGGAUCAAUAACCUCAGCUGCCUUUUCCUCCUCAACAGUCUUCAAUGGUGAGCUCACAUCCUUCUCUGCUUCCUACAGGAGUACAAAACAUUUAAAAAAGACUUACGUAAGUAACCAUUUUAAAUUAUAGGAAUUAAUGUUAUUACGUACCUCAGGCAAGAUGGGUUUGACCAAAUGUGUUGGCCAUGGAACAAAACUACCUAAAGCUUCUUUGACAAACUUUAUUUCUGAUGUAGGGAUUGGAACCUCCGCAUCACCGAAAAUAACUUCCACCACACUCACGCGAACAACAUCAUCAGCAUAGGGCACGUUGUGGAUGGUGCCAAAACUGUCGCACCGUUUGCCCACUGCCACUAAUUUGUUGGAGUUCUCAACGGUUACAUGCAGGCCGACAUUGUCACCAUUCAACAUUCAACUCAGAGGGUUUUUUAGCUAAUGCAUUUGUCUCUGCUGCUGCACAGCUUCCCUUCGUGCUUACCCUUGCUGCUAAUACUUGUAUAUCAUUUGGCUGAAGUGGGGCUGAAUGUUGUGAUACAAUUUGUGACAACUCCAACUUGAUAGCUUCUUGUAUUUGUCCUUUAAAUGUGUCCAUAGUGCGCUGUUUUUCCUCUUCAACCCUCCUCAUCCACACCUCCUCUCUUUUAAUGUUUUCUUGUUCAGCCUGUCUUUGCCAUUCUUCUUUUAGGUUACCAAUUAUAUCAGCCAACUGUUCUACAAUGAUGUUUGAUGAACUGGUAGACCGACACGAUGAUGGACCAAAGUAUUGCGUAAUUGUAACCCCUGUCCCAGCCCCACGUACACGACCAGGAUGCUCCGAUCUUCCAUUAAUAUCUUGGUAUUUCUGUUCUUAUUAUUUUUUUUUUUACUCUUUCUAGUUGUUAAAGGUAUUAAAUAGUAUUUUUUUUUUUUUGAAAUGCAAAGAUAAUUUAUAUUAAUAAAAAGUACCAGAGGUACUUCAAGAUAUACAUAGAAGGAAUCUUGUACUAGCAGGAACAAAAACAAACAAUAGACAACAAGCCCCCACCUUUCCCUACAAUAGACAACAAGCCCCCACCAAGCCCCCUCUGCUGUACCCUUCUGUUUCUCUUGCUAACUUCAACAAAAUGAUGGUUUAGAAUUAAACUGAAGUUCUUAAAUAAUUAAUAGGAAUGAAGACCAUUUUAGUAACACUGUAUUUAUCUGGAUCUUUUUCUUCAACAUAAUCUAUAUGAUUGGUUCAAAUAUAUUAUUAUUAAAAAUCUUGAAUUUUGAUGGAUCACACAGGCCAUUUAAUAACUCUUUUUGUAUAUAUAUUUAGAAGUAGUACUCAUCACCUAAUAAAUUUUAAACCUUUUCAAUCAAUGAUAAAAAUACUGUUAAAAAAACAGUGCCACUAGUAUUGUUCAUUGAGUGAAAAGCCGACCAAGCAAGUCACACACAUGUAUAAAAAAACACAUGGUAUAAUAAAUAAAAAUAGGUCCUAUGAUGUAUUGAGAAAAGCAAAAUAAAUUAAGACAGAUUCUUACUUUUAAGGGUAGGAAGAAAAAAAUUGAAUAUACUAGUAUAGACAACUUCUUAGUUGUUAUUUUAUUAAUUUUUCAUAGUUUAAUUAGAGAUCAUAAAAGAGAAUAUAUAAAUUUUAAUUCAUUUAUACAACCUUAUAAUUUAUUAGAGAUGUUCCUAAAUUAGAUUCAAGUUGAAACAAAAUUCUUUUUAUUUAGAUCGACAAUUCAACCCUACCAAGUCAGUCUUAUAAUUUCAUAAGUUGCAUAUAAAAUAAAUCGGAACCAUAGAUCAUAGACAGAUACUGAUCUAGAGCAACAUAAUCAUUUUUUAGCAUGAUGUGAUAAGAUACUAACUAACAUUUACUAUAAUGAAUAGUGGAUUACCCAUAAGGGCUAGCAGCUGAAAUCAAGUCUAAGGUUUUUUAACCAAAGUGUUUUGUUCCAUUUCAGUUCAGUAAUAUUUUCUUUAGUUUGCACUCUCUUAAUAAUAAUCACAAGGAGUAUUUCAAGCCUCAGUAUUUAUACAAAGUAUUUUUGUGUCUUACUAUCUUCAUUUCAAUCACGUUCCAUUAGUAACAACAUUUAUAUAAA
rnacentral:lncRNA from 1 species